UGUACUCAUGUAACACAAGACUGCGCCGCACCAACUGUCAGACAAGAGUCUUUAUGCGGAAGCAGGAUAAAAUUAUGAGUCCUUGUCUGCCUUGGCCUUUUCUGCCUCCGUUUACAAGGAAAAACUGAAUCACAGUUUAAAAGAAAGAUACUACGCUGUGGAUAAUUUGCUUGGACAUGGGUACCAAAAAGAGAAGAGUUGAGAGGGGACCAGUUCAGCUGGUAUGAAUAAUUAUGGAAUAGUUCAAUCCCAAAGUUCAAAAGCCUUGAAUUAAAUUCAAAGGCCGCCUGGAGAAGAGGGGACAUCUCACCUCGAUAAAAUUGUGCCAAACACAUGGACUUAGGCACAAACAAGCAAGAGAUGGGCACGAAAAAGAAGCAGCUUUGAGAACAGAGUGAAGUUUGAAGUUACACCCUGAGCUCUUAAGUCAGCAAAACUAGAAAACCCCUGUGCUGACACAAGGACCAGGGUCCCCCCUCAUGGCACCACGUCCUCCACCCUACCAAAACGAACCACUGCUCGCAGAGGUCACCCCCAAAGCCACACACCCUCCUUACAAAGAAGCCCAUUGUAACCACAAGCUUCCCAAAGCUGGUUAGUGCUGGGAUACAAUGAAGGUGGUGUAAGACAUGAACUAGCUGAAGCUGCAUUUCACAAGAGAAAAAAGGACCCUGUUUGCAGGGGAGCAGGAUUUCUAAAUGCCAAGCAUUAAAAAAAAAAAAACAAACCAAAAAAAACCAAAACCACGAAAAAAAUGGGAACAAAAACCCCCAACAAAUCACCAAACCCCAAACAACAUAAAACAGCUGCAGGGAAGUUGUUUUUCCACUUGAUGCAGCCUGUAAAAAAAAAAAAAAAAAAAAAAAAAAAAGGUACCUCUGUGGAUGCGAAGUCAUCCCCUGCAAGAAAUCCCAAACUCAGAGUGCCAGCGCCACCUUCUUGUCAAGGAAUUUAGUGGCAGGCUCUUCAAACCGGCGACCCGCGACGGCUAGCUGUGUCAAAACCCGCCGGGGUUUUUGGCUGGUCCCACAGAGGACACUCGGUUUGCACCAGCGGGCCGGGGCAGACGGGUCCCGCAUCCCGGCCCAGCCCCGCAUCCUCCCGGCGGCCGAGAGGAGCCGGCCCGAGCCGCAGCACGCCCCGGGGCCAGCUCCCGCUCCCCUCUGCGGGGACAGGCAAAAAGUAUUUUUACAAAAGAGGGCAGCUUAAAACUCAUAGGAAGCCAUUUAAAACUAGAUAGAACCCAGCCUCCUCCUAAAAGGUGCAUUAUUUUUCUUUUUUUUUUCCAGACAGUCUUUCUACUAGAAAAAAUAAAGGGAGUUUUCUUCUGUUAUUGUCUUGGAUGUAAAAAAUGCAUUUUCCCCAGUAACUUUGUUCUAUCAGAAGCAAAAUGUUUCUUCCAUACAAACAAUUUUUUCCAUACGUAAAUAUUCCUACAGCAAGACUUUAAAACUACCCAAGAUUUUUGCUGGUGUUAAAAAGAUUUUAGUCAUAUUUGAGUCUGGUAGAAUGCCAUAUUUGGGGGAUACCAAGUUUUAUAACCUUCUCCCCUCAGAACCAGCAACUCCAUGCACUGUUAAAUCAACGAUGGGAAGACUAAACCAGCCAUCAUCUCCCUAGAAGAGAGGCUAAGCUCCUUGCUAACGAACCAUUCAACCCACCAAGGACCAUUGGGAAACCCAUCUCCUCUUCCUGUGUCGAAAGACUCAUGGCUGCGGUUGGUGAUUUUGUCUGCGUGAAAUGAACUAGCAACACAAAAACAUAUUACAUCUCUCCAAGAAUUUUGGGGUUAUGAAGUGUGCCAAAUGGAUGUCCUCAGAGCUCAAACGCUCUGGUGAGUUACAGACAGCACAGAGCUGGUGUCAGCAGAGGGGAAGCUUUGUUUUGUUGCCUCAAAGUACAUUAAAUAUGACGUGAAAAGACAUAGUCCUCAGAGUGUGAGAAUAAAGUUCUGAGCCUCUCCAGUUUACUUCUCUGAAGCAACUGUCACCAAGAGGUUCUUCUGAUGCCAUCUGCAAUUUAAAAAAAAAAAAAAAUCUAAUUCCCUGAACCAUUUUGGGUGAUCUGAUUACUAAGUUCGUAUACCAUCGACAUAAUUUCACUUCAGUCACCAGAGAGCACAAGUAAUAGCCUACACAUUUUCACACAUUCCUUUUUUCCAGUUUCCACCUGGGAUGGAUGUGGAAACAAUAAAGUCCCAAAGCAAAACGUGAAAUGUUUCUGUUCGGAGUGUAACACUAAUUGGGAAACAUAGUCCGAAGAGACUUUCUUUUCCAAUACAGUUUUGCAUCAGAUGAUUCAGAUCAAUAUUGCUGGAUACUUAUAUGAAAAAUAAAGUCCUGAACAUUUCAAGACUUGGUCUCCCCUGCAAUCCUGAGAUUGGAAGUGGAGUAACAACAACUGCAAAAGGAUGUGACCUUUUAAUUGCAUCCUGGAAUCUGGAGCUUGCCUGUCCUCGCUGCAUGGAUUGAAGACAUUCGACGAGCGAGGAAGAGGAGCAGCAGAAUCCAAAGGAAGCACAUACUGAGGUUACAUACAUAUCCAUGCAUAUGCAGGGAAAAAUACAGAUUUCCUAGGGUAAAUAAGUUUUUUAUUGUACUUCAUAGCAGAGUUGACUGCACGUGGCAUUAAAAAAAUCCGUCUCUCACCUAUACACUGAACCCAUACUAUCUUCCUAUGAAUUUAAGCAACUUCAGCAAAGCUGUUAGAGUGAGCAGUCUACCUUCUGUUCUCAGAGCCCACUGAGAUUGCAGCCAGAUUGUCAAUGUUUCAUUUUUAUACAUUCAAAACUGUCAUAUACAUACAUGCACCUCUGCAACUAGUUGUUAACUACAGAGGCAGAAAAAAAGCGAAAGGAAAAAUAAAAAGGCAAAGAUAGAGGACAUUUGAAGGAACACAAAAACAACAGCUGAGAAUUUGUCAAAUAAAAGAGACUAUUUUCAACUUUUGAAAACUCUUGAAAACGUUAAUUAUUGUUGUGAAAUAUGACUGUAUUUCACAUCCCCCACCUUGCUCUCGGGAACAUUCAGUCCUAAUACAUUUAACUGCAUAAGAAGAAAUAUCAGUUAAAGCUCUCCAGCGAGCGUGCACGCAUGCCUUCCCUGGGACUCCUCAGCAACUGGCUGCAAUACGCGUUUCCCUUGCAUAACACGGACUAGGAGUAGUCACAAGGCGAUGGCCAAGGAAACCAACACAAUUUCCAUGACAAAGGAGGAUUCUGGUGUUAUACUCUCAUUUAUCUGUCACGUGUACGCUUGGCAGCAUUUGAUCUUUAUUCUCUAGAUGCUUAAGAAAUAAUCUAGGAAUUAUUGCUUCUUGACAAUACAAACAAAUAAGGCUAUCUAUAAAUAAACCGCAGCGAGGACCCGGGGGGGGGGGCAGAGGGAGGAUUGCUUCGCACCCACAGAGGGACUGCCUCAGGGCUAGUUCUUGUUUGUUUUUUGGCCAUCACUGGUGAUCAGGAGGUCACCCUCCUUUCUGAGCCCUUUUGUGCGAGCCUGCGUGCGGGGAAGAGGGGCCCUCACACAAAGCACCCCCAAAGAAAUCGGCUGACUUUUUUCGCCCACCUUCCUGCCAGUCUCCUCGACGAGGCGCAGGGUUUUGGUGGCAGCGGGGCAGGCGGGAGGUGACACCCCAGCAGGCGGCACGGCCCCCGCUGCCCCCUCCCCGUACCUGCGGCACCGCGGCCGGGCUUCACUUGCCAACUGCUGCUCAGCAAGGGAAGAAGAGAUUUUGUGUGAGCUGUUUAACCUUAUCGCCACUCUAUGAAUUUCAGUUGGAAAACCCAGGAAGUGUAAUAUUCUCUAAAGAAAUCGCGGGCACAAAACCUUUGUUUAGUUUAUGCUAUACUCAUGUAGGGCAUUCUUGCUAGCAUCCACCAGAUGCUGCUUAACUAUUUUUUUUUUUCUUCCUUUUUUUCUUUUAAAUUUUACUGUUUGUAGCAUCUCCCCAUGGCUAUUCUUGUUUGCCUUGGGCCCGAUCCAAGCAGCUAUGGGAAGAAACAGCCAGGACGCCUAUUGACUUCUAUAAAAGUUGAAUCAGGGCCACGGGCAGUAAUGGAUACAAUCCACAGAGACUUUUUUUUGAAGGCUCUGAAAUUAAUAUCAGCCCCUUGAUUUACACGUUACUAAUACGGCAGGUAUGUUUUAAAAAGGACAACCUUUCUUUUUUGCUCUCUUGCCUUCUACGUGAAAAUGUUGCUCAUUAUAGAAAGAUACAGAAACCUUCAGAUUCCAUCAAAGAGAAGUUUUAUAAGGAAAUCAUUUUAAGAUAGAAAAUUAAAGACGGUAGUUAAAAUUGUUCCAGUUUAACAUCUUCACUGUCAAGUUAUGAGAUUGACCCUGCAAAUGCUUCAUCACGGCUGGGAUUUUCUUGGAAGUGAAGAGCACAAAUCAGUUGAGUUCCAAAGUCAUUUAUAGCCAGAUGCAAUCAAAAUAAAAUGGCAUAUUGCCUACCUCCCUGUGGCAUUCAGAGGCGGUAGGUGUCUCAGAUUUCUAUACAGUUAAUGAGAGUUAGGAGCCUCAGUAUAGAAGCUCAAGCAGCCUUUGAACAAGGAGACACAACUGACAUAAGUGUGCUCAGCAUGCAGCUACUUGAAACUGCCCAAGAGAAAAUGCUGAAUGCGAGGCAUUGCCCCAGAUAUUUCCCCCUCCCAGGGUUUCUGCCCUUCUCUCCUCACUUCAGCGAGAUUUUUCUUUCCCUGUUUGAGGUCAGUGCAUAGGACACCUCUUCACAAAAGACUCUGCCUUGUUUUUCAAAGUCUCAAGCAGAGGUUACCCUUUCAAACGACAUUUGGUACCACAAGCCAUGUUUACUGUAAUAACCGGGUGGUUGGAGCAUUAUCCUGGGAAGUGGGAACCUGGGAUCUAGGUUUCUUUCAGCCUGGGGUUGUCCAAAUAUGUGAGCCAUCAAAAAAUGGCCGGACAGAUUAAGUACCCAAAUGAGAGCACUAUUCAGACAUAGACCAACAAUAGCCCUAUUUUUAUAUACAAACUUAUUUAUAUUCAUCUUACUUCAGCUCAUUUCCUUACUAAAAAAAAGCUAUUUUUGUCCAAACAGACCUGCUUGAGGUUUGCCAAACCAUAACAAUUGAACUGUUUUAAAGCAGAGAUUUGAUGCCAGAGGUGGUCUUAAAAAAAAUUAAAAUUACAAGAAACCCCUCAUUUUGUAACUUCCCUAAAAAUAGACAAACAAAAGGCUUAAUUAACUUGGGCCAUUUAAAAAAAGUGUGCCUUGGCUCAAGGAAUCAACCUCACCCUUCAAGGGUGAAAACGAGCAAGCUCAUUCAGGAUUUGCAUUUAUAUUUAUGUUAAUAGAAGAAAAAACUCAAAAGAAAAUGGGAAGGAGUAGUUCUAAGUGUUAGUUUUUCUUCUCUUCAUUUUUGUUAAUCACACGAGCAAGGUCACUGAAUCUUCUGAGUAUUUCUAUUAGUAAAUGCUCAAUACUGUAAAUAAGUGAUACGUCGUUUGGCCCACAGAUAGCAUAGCAAAGACAUCUGGAGAAAAAAAAAAUUCCUUGCAAGCAUACAUAUUAGUAUUCGAGCCUUUAUCAGCAUGUCUAUCAUGUUAAAAUUCAUCCAAACAAACAGCUGGUAUUGUGUGGGGAGAACAGUAGAGAAGACUUAAAAGAAGUUAGAAGGGUAUGACCAAUUAAAGAAGAAAAAAAAACCUCUUUAACUUCUUUUGGUAUUUUCUUUGCAUUAUUUACAUAUCCUUUUUAUUAGUUAAAAUAAUAUUCAGCAGUUGAAAUAUGCCAUACAGAAAGAACUAGAUAAAACAGAUGGAAAGUGACAUUACCUGAGAAGCAGUUUUCUAUUUAAACACUCUUAUUAUUUACAGGAAAUAUUAUAUUUUUGACUGUCCACCAGGAAAAUUUUAACAACAUAUGCAGUUUUAGGUGAAUCCAAGUCAAGAUAUUUCAGCUGUCAAGAAGCAACAAUUUAUUUAGGGUCAGUUCAGCAAUAAUUUGCCCCUGAGAUGCCACAAUGAUUCAUGGAAAACUAUAGCUUGGAUGUCUCUUGCUGUUUGCCUCCAUGGGCUGGCUCCAUACUAGAUUUCACCUCCAAUGACCUCCACAGUCUUCCCUUUAGCUGAAUCCUAAGUAGAGGAUGAUGGAAAUCCUACAGACACAGUAUAUUAUGGGAAAUGCAGUCCAGCUGUGAACAAUGAGCCACAGAAAGUAACUUCUAGUUAGUACUCCAGCCUUGUUUUCCUUUCUCUCAAGCCUCACACAUCUCAGCCAUUUUUCACCUGACCAAAUUAAGUUAAUUUUCACCUAUUAGUAAAAUGAUUAAAUAGCCUGGCUGGGUUAAAAAUGUCCAUACUGACUGCUCUUCUAACCCAAACUGUAUCUUCCUUCUAUGGCCAUUUUUAGUAGUCUCUGCAAACAGGGCACAGCUGGGGAUCUUGGUUUUGAAAACAAAGAUGGCACUUUACAUCAUUAUUUCUGUCUUACUCUAGCUUAUAAUCUUUGUGUUCAUUGGCUCGGUGCAAGCGCUGCCAUUAACAGCAGUUCUGCAGUGCAUUUAUCCCUUAGGACCGUGCAAGUGGAGUUCCUGUUAGGGCUACUAACGGAAGGCGAAGCAAAAAGAAUGAAGGAUCCAUCCCAUAGGUUCCUCCACGUCCCAAUACUUGUGCUUUUACACAGUAGAUAAAUUGCACUAGGUCUACUCUAAUAAACAGA